rnacentral:rRNA from 1 species
CGGAGCAUGUGGUUUAAUUCGAAGCAACGCGAAGAACCUUACCAGGUCUUGACAUCCUCUGACAAUCUGAGAGAUCAGAUUUCCCUUCGGGGACAGAGAGACAGGUGGUGCAUGGUUGUCGUCAGCUCGUGUCGUGAGAUGUUGGGUUAAGUCCCGCAACGAGCGCAACCCCUGUGGUUAGUUGCCAUCAUUCAGUUGGGCACUCUAAGCAGACUGCCGUGGAUAACACGGAGGAAGGUGGGGACGACGUCAAAUCAUCAUGCCCCUUAUGACCUGGGCUACACACGUGCUACAAUGGUCUGAACAGAGGGCUGCGAAACCGCGAGGUGAAGCUAAUCCCUUAAAACAGAUCUCAGUUCGGAUUGCAGGCUGCAACUCGCCUGCAUGAAGUUGGAGUUGCUAGUAAUCGCAGAUCAGAAUGCUGCGGUGAAUGCGUUCCCGGGUCUU